rnacentral:rRNA from 1 species
GCUUACGGCCAUACCACCCUGAGAACGCCUGAUCUCGGAUGCUAAACAGGAUUGCGCCUGGUUAGUACUUGGAUGGGAGACUGCCUUGGAAUACCAGGUGCUGUAAGGU